AUUGUAUCCACGAUUGGGGAAUUUUCCGCAAUGGGCGAAAGCCUGACGGAGCAAUACCGCGUGAGGGAGGAAGGCUUUUGGGUUGUAAACCCCUUUUAUCAGGGAAGAAGACAGUGACGGUACCUGAUGAAUCAGCAUCGGCUAACUCCGUGCCAGCAGCCGCGGUAAUACGGAGGAUGCAAGCGUUAUCCGGAUUUAUUGGGCGUAAAGGGUCCGCAGGUGGUUAUACAAGUCUGCUGUUAAAGCGCAGGGCUUAACUCUGUAACGGCGGUGGAAACUGUGUAACUAGAGAGUGGUAGGGGUAGCGGGAAUUCCCAGUGUAGCGGUGAAAUGCGUAGAUAUUGGGAAGAACACCAGCGGCGAAAGCGCGCUACUGGGCCACGACUGACACUGAGGGACGAAAGCUAGGGGAGCGAAAGGGAUUAGAUACCCCUGUAGUCAAUCGUGGAUACAAU
rnacentral:rRNA from 1 species